GAACGCCACUUUAAUAAUCAUCUGAUCCUACCAAAAUCCAUAAUGCAAACAAAUUCACUGCAAAAAACAAUAUGCAAAAAACAAUAUGCAAAAAACAAUAUGCAAAAACAAUAUGCAAAAUCAAUAUGCAAAAAACAAUAUGCAAAAAACAAUAUGCAUAUAAUUGCAUUAUACAAACAUUCUUUUGAAUAAAAGACAUCAUAAUCCACCAAUACUAAUCUAAUACUAGAAAAGAAUAUUUUUUUUAAAGCAAAGCCUCUUCACAUUGCCAACCUCUACUGGGAUCCUGGCUUCCAUUACUAGAAUAAUAUGCAUUUUGUACAUUUAAAAAACUUAGCAUUACCCUAUGUAAUGUUAUUGUGUAUAUUGUUUAAGCUUUCUCCACACCACCAUAUACAUGUUUUAUAUAAUAUACUGUUAUAUGUUGUUUAUUGUUUUUAUACGACCGCAAAAAUUUUAAUUUUUUGGUCGUAUAUUGCUAUCACGUUGGCGUCGUCGUCGUCGUCGUCGUCGUCGUCGUCCGAAUACUUUUAGUUUUCGCACUCUAACUUUAGUAAAAGUGAAUAGAAAUCAAUGAAAUUUUAACACAAGGUUUAUGACCACAAAAGCAAGGUUGGGAUUGAUUUUGGGAGUUUUGGUCCCAACAUUUUAGGAAUUAGAGGCCAAAAAGGGCCCAAAUAAGCAUUUUCUUGGUUUUCGCACUAUAACUUUAGUUUAAGUGAAUAGAAAUCUAUGAAAUUUUGACACAAGGUUUAUGACCACAAAAGGAAGGUUGGGAUUGAUUUUGGGAGUUUUGGUUCUAACAGUUUAGGAAUUAAGGGCCAAAAAAAGGGCCCAAAUAAGCAUUUUCUUGGUUUUCGCACUAUAACUUUAGUUUAAGUGAAUAGAAAUCUAUGAAAUUUUAACACAAGGUUUAUGACCACAAAAGGAAGGUUGGGAUUGAUUUUUGGAGUUGAGGUCACAACAGUUUAUGAAUUAGGGCCAAAAAGGGGCCCAAAUAAGCAUUAUUUUUGGUUUUUGCACCAUAACUUUAGUAUAAGUAAAUAGAAAUCUAUGAAAUUUAAACACAAGGUUUAUGACCAUAAAAGGAAGGUUGG
rnacentral:lncRNA from 1 species